GUCUACAGCCAUGCCACCCUGAACAAGCCCGAUGUCUGAUCUAGGAAGCUAAGCAGGGUCGGGCCUGGUUAGUACUUGGAUGGGAGACCACCUAGGAAGACCAGGUGCUGUAGGCA
rnacentral:rRNA from 1 species